rnacentral:rRNA from 1 species
GACGUAGGGCGCGAGCGUUGUCCGGAUUUAUUGGGCGUAAAGAGCUCGUAGGCGGUCUGUCGCGUCUGCUGUGAAAACUCAGGGCUUAACCCUGAGCUUGCAGUGGGUACGGGCAGACUAGAGUGCGGUAGGGGAGACUGGAAUUCCUGGUGUAGCGGUGAAAUGCGCAGAUAUCAGGAGGAACACCGGUGGCGAAGGCGGGUCUCUGGGCCGUAACUGACGCUGAGGAGCGAAAGCAUGGGGAGCGAACAGG